rnacentral:rRNA from 2 species
GGAUGCGAUCAUACCAGCACUAAAGCACCGGAUCCCAUCAGAACUCCGAAGUUAAGCAUGCUUGGGCGAGAGUAGUACUAGGAUGGGUGACCUCGUGGGAAGUCCUCGUGUUGCAUUCC